GGGCUCGUGGCUCAGCUGGGAGAGCGCCGCGUUCGCAACGCGGAGGUCGAGGGUUCGAUCCCCUUCGGGUCCACCA
rnacentral:tRNA from 4 species